CCUACGGGAGGCAGCAGUGGGGAAUUUUCCGCAAUGGGCGCAAGCCUGACGGAGCAAUACCGCGUGAGGGAGGAAGGCUUUUGGGUUGUAAACCUCUUUUCUCAAGGAAGAAGCAAGUGACGGUACUUGAGGAAGAAGCAUCGGCUAACUCCGUGCCAGCAGCCGCGGU
rnacentral:rRNA from 1 species